GUUUUUAAUUAUUAGUUUUUAGGUAACUUUUCCAAAAAUUAAUGUUAUCGAAGAUCAGAACAUAAUUAAACAUGUUAUCCAAGAUCCGAACAGAGUUAAACCGGGUUAUACCCACCCAUUUGAAUUAAUUGUUGAAUUAUGGCUCAAAUCUUCAAUAUUAUCUUCUAAAAACGUCUACAAAAAUGUAUAUAUAGAAGAUUACUCUUUUUAACUAAAUGCAAAAAAGGAAAACCGAUAAGAAUAAGAAAAAA
rnacentral:sRNA from 1 species